rnacentral:misc_RNA from 1 species
GUGAAUCAUCGAAUCUUUGAACGCAGAUUGCACUCUCUGGUAUUCCGGAGAGUAUGCCUGUUUGAGGGUAAUUAAAAAGAAUCUUUACCAAUUUUUUUGGUUAAAGGAAAUGAGGUCUCCGCGAUUAUAGCGGUAGCUUGAAAUAAAUGGUCAAGUCUCAUUUUAGUCGAAGAGAGUAUUAAUAUUAUUUCGCGAAAUGUUCAUUAUGGGACUAUCAAUUCUUGAUGCAUACAAAUUUGGUUUGUAUUCGAUCA